rnacentral:rRNA from 1 species
CGUGUAGGCGGCCCGGUAAGUCCGCUGUGAAAGUCGGGGGCUCAACCCUCGAAUGCCGGUGGAUACUGUCGGGCUAGAGUACGGAAGAGGCGAGUGGAAUUCCUGGUGUAGCGGUGAAAUGCGCAGAUAUCAGGAGGAACACCAAUUGCGAAGGCAGCUCGCUGGGACGUUACUGACGCUGAGACGCGAAAGCGUGGGAGCAAACA